UCAACACUAAACCUAAAACCUUAAACCCUAAACAUAAAUCCUACACCCUAAACUAAAAAUCCAAAACACUAAAACCUAAACCCAAAACCCUAAACCCUAAACCCUAAACUCUUAACCCUAACCCUUAAACCUAAACCCAAAACCAUAGUCCCCAAACUUUAUAACCAAAAUCCUACUUUAGCUUCUGGAAGCUGGUUGCGGUUCUAGUUCUUAUGCUCAACGAUACACAAAGUAU
rnacentral:sRNA from 1 species